GACAGAGGGUGCAAACGUUGUUCGGAAUUACUGGGCGUAAAGCGUGUGUAGGCGGCUACAUAAGUCGGAUGUGAAAGCCCCGGGCUCAACCCCGGGAAGUGCACUCGAUACUGCGUAGCUUGAGUCUCGGAGAGGUUGGUGGAAUUCUCGGUGUAGAGGUGAAAUUCGUAGAUAUCGAGAGGAACACCGGUGGCGAAGGCGGCCAACUGGACGAAGACUGACGCUGAGACACGAAAGCGUGGGGAGCAAACAGG
rnacentral:rRNA from 1 species